ACCUGAUGGGCCUGAAUCCUUGCUCAGCCUGGGAUUGUGUAAGGAAGGUGAGCAAAGUUUCAGGUGUGUCGGUGA
rnacentral:pre_miRNA from 1 species